rnacentral:rRNA from 1 species
UACGGAGGGUGCAAGCGUUAUCCGGAUUUAUUGGGUUUAAAGGGUCCGUAGGCGGAUCUGUAAGUCAGUGGUGAAAUCUCAUAGCUUAACUAUGAAACUGCCAUUGAUACUGCAGGUCUUGAGUGAGAUUGAGGUAGCUGGAAUAAGUAGUGUAGCGGUGAAAUGCAUAGAUAUUACUUAGAACACCAAUUGCGAAGGCAGGUUACCAAGUCUUAACUGACGCUGAGGGACGAAAGCGUGGGGAGCGAAC